UGAGGAGGAUAUACCUUAACAUUCUAAACAGCUGAUACUCCCUGAUUUCAGAACCUAAGCAGUUUGGGUCUAGUUAGUACUUGAAUGGAAGACUAUCAAGGACUGCCAGGGAUCUCCAGAU
rnacentral:rRNA from 1 species